AAACAUAAUUGACGAUGAUGACGAACACGAGCACAACUUCUGAGCGCCUCUCUUACUCUUCUCGCAAUGUUGGACCGAAUUGGAAGCGUGUGAGCGAUAACGUUCUUCGAGCUUCGAAGCUUCCGGCGGUGGAGGUGGCUUAGCUCUGCCGUGUAGAGCUUCGAGUGAUGAAGCUCUCACAAUAAUGGGAGAUGAGCGUGUACUGAAGGUGGGAGGGAAGCGAUUGCAGGAUGCUUUUCGAAUGAGGGGGAAAAAGUCUGAACCCCAAUGAUUGGCAAUGAUUGCCUCUUAUAUAAGCUUGAUCCAAGAGGGCAAUUUGGAUAAUUGGAUCUGAAAUUAAAUCUGAAUCGUCCAGCUGGCAUCUAAGUGAAGGACAUGGUUGCUGAAUUGGUGCUUGUGAGUGAGGGUGCCGUUGUGGAUCCUUCGAUUGCUCUUUCGUUGUGGUCGAGCAUUGGUUGUAAUCUGGCUCUGGACAGAUUGAGAUUGAGAAAGCAUACCGGAAUAAGACCUAUCAUUUGAUGACUCGCCACCAGCUGCCCUUUUAUCAAGUCUAAGCUCUUCUUGCGUAUCAGGGUCGUGAGGUCAAGUACAGGUCUUGAUCGGGACAAUAUACCACUCAUGAAACAACCAAUCCUUUCCGUAACGGAUGACGGCACAUCUGCGGCUUAUACGCGUAUUGCAUAAGGUGCUGCAAUAUUUUGCAACAUUUCGUGACAGGAUGAAAGUGAUUCUGCAAGUGAGAUUCAACCGCUGAUUGGUUGCAAAUGAUCAAAUGCAGGUUGAGUUUACUGGUUAUGGUUGUAGCAUGCAGAUGGUUUUACAUUGGUGCAGGAACCUUGAUUUCUAAUCAACUGAUUUUGGUUACAAGGAUGUUUCUUGUAACAUGGCAUUAAUGUGGACUUGUGCAACCAGUGUUGCAGCAUUUAUGCACAUCCUGCAGGUCUGUUUUGGUUCUGUAAUAGGGCUUGUUGCGAUGGCUGAUGCAUUGUGGGACGGUAUCGUAUCAGUGGGCACUCUGCAGGUUGGGAUCUCAUGCAGGAUCAGUUUGCUUCGUUUGGCAAUGCGUUGCCUUCUGCACCCAGUUGUGGAACACUUCGAGAACAACACAUUGAUGCCCUUUGCACGAACACGGGGAUGCUUGUGCUUAAGGUAUGGUUGCGAUUUUGGCAACAACGAAAUAGGGGAAAAUCCAAUUAGUCAUUGAUACCAAGGCUUUUUUCGCUGCUGUUUGGUUUACUUCUCCCUGGAAGGAGCUUUGAAGCUUUGUGGCCGACACAUAAGCCAGUGGAAGAGUAUAGUAGAGAGCCUUCACGUAUAUGAGAUCUUCACUGCAAAGCUCUAUCAGGGACCGGAGGAAUUUGACCAUCAGUUUCUUCUUUCGCAUCGGUGAAUUCAAAUUCAGAUUUCUUGUCCUUAUUAAUAAUAGCAUAGGUGUCAUUCCCUUUUUCAAUAGCACGCCUUCCUUGACAAGGUUGUCAAUGAUCUCUUCAAUCAGAACCACUGUCUGGAAAAUUUGAUAGAACAUCAGUAAGAUCAAUGGUAUCCAGGUGACAAUAGGUGAGCCACUCCUUGACCCGAACCAAAUGUUGCUCAUCUUCAACAGGGUCCUGGGCAUUCUCUUCACCUUCAGAGCUAAGACAAAAUGCUUGCUGUUUACAUUUCCGACCUCCAUUUUUAAUGGAUUUUUCACCCAAGGAUGAUUCACUUCUUCUUCUGUGCAUUCCCUGAAGAAAGGAGGCUCAUAAUCCGUUGGCGUCACUUCGUCACAAUAGAGGAUCCAGUGAAUCUAUUAUAAGAUCACUCUAUGUAGAGAAAAUGUCAGCAGAUGUCAUAACGGUCGGUUCAAGUUCUUGGAUUCAAGGUAUUCUAUUUCUACAAUUCCAACCUCUACAACAAAACCCACAGGGACAACCUGAUUUCCCUUAACAUGUGGGAAACCAAAGCGGGACAGUUUUUUCUUCUUUUGACAUUCUUCAAUAUUUUCAUUAGCAUUGUCAACCAGAGGCUUCAUCAAACAUGUCCUACCGGAGCCCCCGCUAUUUCCUUUCAGUUACAGGAAUGAUAUUGAGGUCCUUAGGUGCUGUCUUCUCAUUAAUUCUCCUAACAUCUGUCACUGUAGCGUUGCAAAAGAAACAUCUUUGACAGGGAGUCUUGGAUAUUAGUUGGAUACUGUGAUUUUCUUGUUGUAGAAUUUAAUUGUGGAAGGAAUGAAUGAUGCAAGUCAACUGUCAUGAAGCCGUUCCGCUGCAGCUGCAAUGCAUAUACCGUGUUUAUGCUGUUCGCGUAUUACCCCGGUUCAUGCUCGUGGCAAGUGUUUCUCUGAUGUAAACUUUCUGUUGCCGCUGCUGAAUCCAUCUUUGCAGAUUAUGCUGUGUUGGUCUGUUGUGGUAGCCUGGGAGGCAUGUUGGGUUAAUUGUCGGUUGUACUGCAUUUUUGCAUGUUCCGAACCAGAUCCACAUGAUGAAGCUUUUGCAUUCAACGAACUAUUAGCACCUAAGCUCAUGUUUGCAGAAGAUUGAUGUGGAUGCAUAUAAGGCAUUACAUUACCAACUACAGCAGAUUGUUUCGAAGAUCCUCGAGCAUCUCGACUAUGAAGACUGAACUGCUACACUGCCAUGUCACUGGAGUUUCCAGCAACACCAGCAUUGAUGGGUAAGUCCCAAUGGCAGGUCCAUGAGCUGAAGGCUUUUCUUCUUUCUUCUCAUCAGGAGCUAGCUGAUGUCCAUGCUCUAUCCUCUUUUCAUCAUGAGAAAAAUGUUCAGAUGAAUUCCUAGAAGUUGAUCCUUGGCCAUGACUCGGUGCCUGCAUUGCCAUAAGCUCCUGCAAUUUAAAAUUUCCAAUUCGCAUUUCUUGAUCCUUAACAGAUGUGGGACCUGUCAUUUCCAUUUUAGAUUGCUGUUGUGACUGUAUUGCCAAAGCAGACUUUUGUUGAGAACGCUGGAGAGCCUAUUGAUAAUAUGCUUGCUGGACAGGACUUAACACCUGCUGCUCAAUGCCUUGACCCUGGUUAGUGCUAAUGUUGAUAUUGAAAAGUUUGCAUGGAAAGGUUGAAUUGGAUGAUGUGAAUGUGUGGGAAUUAAGAUUAUGUAUGGAUUUGUGAUUGUGUAAUGGAUAUUGGACUUGGAUUUAAUUGGACACAGUUGGAUUCAAUUUCAAA